GAAGUGAAUAAAAUAGCUUUGGUGAAGCGAACCCGGGGAACUGAAACAUCUCAGUACCCGGAGGAAAGGACAUCAACAGAGACUCCGCUAGUAGUGGCGAGCGAACGCGGACCAGGCCAGUGAUACAUCAAAGACAAUCGGAACCUGUCAGGAAAGCAGGGCCUCAGAGGGUGAUAGCCCCGUACGAGUAAUGCGAUGAUGUAUCCACGAGUAAGGCGGGACACGUGUAAUCCUGUCUGAACAUAGGGGGACCACCCUCUAAGCCUAAAUACUCGUAUGCGACCGAUAGCGAACUAGUACCGUGAGGGAAAGGUGAAAAGCACCCCGAUGAGGGGAGUGAAACAGUACCUGAAACCGAAUGCCUACAAGCAGUAGGAGGGUCCUUGAGGCCUGACUGCGUACCUCUUGCAUAAUGGGUCAGUGACUUAGUGUAUCAAGCAAGCUUAAGCCGAUAGGUGUAGGCGCAGCGAAAGCGAGUCUGAAUAGGGCGAAUGAGUUUGAUGCAUUAGACCCGAAACCCGGUGAUCUAGGCAUGACCAGGCUGAAGGUGCGGUAACACGCACUGGAGGGCCGAACCGUUCAAUGUUGAAAAAUUGUCGGAUGAGUUGUGUUUAGGGGUGAAAGGCCAAUCAAGCCGGGAAAUAGCUGGUUCUCCGCGAAAUCUAUUGAGGUAGAGCGUCGGACGAAUACCUUGGGGGGUAGAGCACUGGAUGGAUGCGGGGGUCGCGAGAUCUACCAAUUCUAACCAAACUCCGAAUACCCAAGAGUACUAUCCGGCAGACAGACGGUGGGUGCUAACGUCCAUCGUCAAAAGGGAAACAACCCUGACCGCCAGCUAAGGCCCCCAAAUCAUGGCUAAGUGUGAAAGGAUGUGGGGAUCCCAAAACAACCAGGAUGUUGGCUUAGAAGCAGCCAUCAUUUAAAGAAAGCGUAACAGCUCACUGGUCUAAAUAAGGGUCUUUGCGCCGAAAAUGUAACGGGGCUAAAGCCAUACACCGAAGCUUAGGGUUCGUGAGCAAUCACGAGCGGUAGCGGAGCGUUCUGUAAGCCAGUGAAGGGAGACCCGUGAGGGCUCCUGGAGGUAUCAGAAGUGCGAAUGCUGACAUGAGUAGCGUUAAAGGGGGUGAAAAGCCCCCUCGCCGUAAGCGCAAGGUUUUCUACGCAACGUUCAUCGGCGUAGAGUGAGUCGGCCCCUAAGGCGAGGCAGAGAUGCGUAGCUGAUGGGAAACAGGUCAAUAUUCCUGUACCG
rnacentral:rRNA from 1 species